rnacentral:rRNA from 1 species
CACAAUAAUUUGUCUUUUAAUUGAAGAAUGGUAUGAAAGGGUUAACGUGGGAUAAGCUGUGUCAAAAUAACAUAUUGAAACUAAUUUUUACGUGAAGAAGCGUGAAUUCUUUAGAGUGACGAUGAGACCCUAUGAAGUUUGACCUGAAGUCGUCUCAUUUACCAAUAAGUUAGAGCACAUGUGCUCAGCAGAUUUAAGGUGGACUAUAACGGUUUUGGUGGGGCCCCAGUCUUAGUAGGUGUAAGAUAGUACGCAGUUUUUGUGUUUUCCAGGGCUUUGUUGCCCUAUAAGUUAAGUUCUCACUUGAGUAAAUCUAUACUUUAUAAAUUUGAUAAACUACUCUAGGGAUAACAGCACAAUCCUCUUCGAUAGAAGCUAUUGAAAAGGGGGU